GCAUCGGUGGUGCUAUGGUUUAGCACAUGCUCCUGGAAAGAGUAGGAUUUCGGUUCAAAUCUCGGCUGACGCA